GUAUUAAAAUAUAUUGUUCUGAAAACCGAAUGAGUUACUAAAAAAAGAUUGGGCUACUUUAAUUACAAAUUCGCUACUUUUUGCUACUUUCAUCAAUUGGGAUCUGGCAACGCUGCACCAGUGAGCGAGGGACGCGCGCUCCACCAUCUUGUCCCACUGACUGAUGCUGCUCCUUGCACCCUCACCUCUCACUCACUCACUCAUUAUUAUCCUCACUCAAGCCCAAGAAAUCGUCCUCAACGCUGCGAUGGUGCUGACAAAGGAAUGUGGUGCCUUGACCAGCCUCUGAGCCUUGCAAGGUCAUCCAUACACUGGUGGUAGGACAAUAUAGUGCUAACUCUCAAGUGUCUCCAAGCUCAAGUGAUUGGCAGAAAUACAAAGUACAAAUAACAUCAGUGCCAAGUUUUCAUAGAGCAUAUUAAGGUGUCAGAAAUAGUACUAAUUAUGUCUAUUAUCAUCUUAAAGUUGAACUUGGCAUUAUCCUGAUUAUUGUACACGCUUCCUUAACCAUGUAAAGUCAAAUUUCAAAUUUAAGGCUUGCAAUUGAAAAUGUACACAGUGCAAUACAAUCUGUAAAAUUAUAUUUAACUGGAUUACUAUCUAGCAAGGCAUUAAAUAUUUAACUGCGAUAUUGUAAGUGACAUCUCCCUUGUUUAGAAUAUGGCUGUUUAAAUUCAUCUUAUUUAUUGAUUGCAUAGGCAUCAUAUAACAUUACCUUUCUUUGUCCAGUUUUGAGAAUCUAAUUUUUUUUCUCUUCCAUCAAACUUAAUCACAUCCCUAUCAAAUUGACAGUACACACAUGUAUUUGAUAUAGUUGAUUAUAAAUAUUCUUAACUUCAAAGUACAGUAUACUUGACUUUUUAUUUAAUGAAUUUCUAUUAUUUCAAGCUUUUGAGUUAAUAUUCAUGAUGAUAAUAUUACAUUUUGAUUAAACUGUUAUUUCCAUAUCAUUGACAUAGACACCAGAAAGUCGAUAUCGUUACAUACACGUGACUAGUUACCCAAUUUAUGGUCAGAUGCUGCUUGUUUUUGUCUAAUAUAAUUUAAUUCUUUAUGAUUUAUCUAAGACAUUCUCUGGAAACUGUAACUUCACUGUCUGAUAUCGUAAGUACAUGCAAGAUAUAAUGGUAGUGUGUGUUAUAGGUGCUAUUAUUUCCCUGUUCAGCUUGAGUUUGUUCUACAACAUUUACUCAGAUUUGAACAGGUGAGAUUUCAAAUAACAUAAAAGCCGAGAUUCAGGGUUUUAUUUACAAAUAGCUGUACAUUUGUUAUAGUAACAUAAAAAUUGAGGCCGAAUAAAAUCAUAUCGGAAGGCUCUGCCAAAGUUUGCCAAAGUUACUGUAUAGGUAUUCAUUAUCAGAAUUUAUCUACCAUGACUAUUUUUAUUGAAGAAAAAUACAGUAUACCAAUUUUUGCAUCAUUUUCAGUUGAGAAAAAAUCGCCAGUAUGAAAAUGAUAGAAGUUUUUAAAAAAAUUUGUUGAUAAGACUCAAAAAAUAUGUUCUACAAUAUCAUGAACUGUCAUGAGCACUAUAGUAAUACACAAAAUGCUCAUAGUGUAUAAGUGAAGAUCAUCAGUGGUCUUUGUGUAUAAAAGUUUUGAUUAAUUUCACUUUACAAGCAAAUAUGAAUGCCCCCAGAGAAAAGAAACAUCAGUGUCCUGUGUGUCUAAAAUAUUUUUCACAAAAAUAUGAUCUAUCAAUUCAUGAACGUAUCCAUACAGGAGAGAAACCAUAUCAAUGCUCACUGUGUUUAAAAGACUUCUUAGAUAAAUCUUCAUUUGCAAAACAUAGGAGAGUUCAUACUGGGGAAAAACCAUAUCAGUGUUCAGUAUGUCAAAAAGGUUUUAAACAAACAGGACAUCUACUGACACACAUGAGAGUUCACACUGGAGAAAAACCAUUUCAAUGCUUGGUUUGUUCCAAAGAAUUUGCAGUUAAAUCUAAUCUAGUAAAACACACAAGAUUACAUACAGGAGAGAAACCAUAUCAGUGUUCAGACUGUUGGAAAGCAUAUACACAACAUAGUGGUCUAGUUCAACAUAUGGCUAUUCAUACAAAAGAAAAACCAUUUGGGUGUUCAGAAUGUCUGAAGGAGUUCUCAAGCAAGUCAUCCUUAUUAAAUCAUAUAAAACUUCAUAAUGGUGAAAAACCAUUUAAGUGUUUAAAGUGUUCUAAAUGUUUUUUGAAAAAAAGUCAUUUAGUAAAGCACAUGAACGUUCAUAACAAGAAAGCACCAUAUCAGUGUUCAAAGUGUCUAAAAGAUUUCUUUGGUAAAACUGAUCUUGUUAACCAUAUGACAAUUCAUUUUCAAGAGAAAAUCCCUAGCAAUGUUCAACAACUAAAAGACUUUAGGAAAAUCUCUUCUAGUUAAGUAUAUGAGGAUUCCAACGCCACAGGAAAUGUGCAGCAUAAAUUAUGGUUGCACGAGACAUAAAAUUAUAUUAGAUUUCACCUUUGCUUUAUGAUAAGCAGGAAAACUUGCUUCAUAAAAAAGUCCUUAAGUGAAGCAGUCAAGUUUUAAAAAUUGCCUCAAAACAUCCUGUCCUGCAAUGUUAUCUAGAUACUGUAUCUGGGUUUCAGAACAGGAGUUUAAACUUGGUACUGUAUAUGCAACAGUUUGUCCAUAGAGGAAAAUGUGAUGUUAUGAGGUACAUCUAUACGGCAGCAUUAAUUAAUUUAUUUAACAUUGAAUUUAUUUAAAUUUAUUUAAAAUUUAUGGUCGCUGCUCCCACUGCUGACUUCUAGGUGCAUCAUGUAGGGCUGUUAUAUGUGCAACAGGAGUUGGAAAUAGAACCCUAUGCGCUCACAGUGCACAGCAAUGUACACAGUCGCUAUCAACACUGGAUUGUAUUUGGGCUCUCAGAGCCCAUGACUUGAGCAGCAUUUUGAUAUUACAGAAGCCACUGUGGGUCCAGUUAGUAAAGAGUUUGUGGAAGGAAGUGUAUUACCCUGUACUGUAUUUUUUAGCAGAAGAUCCUUGCUGUCUUGGUCAUGUCGAAUGUAGUGCAGUACAGUAGAUUGCUCCAGGUGAUCACAAGGGAUUACCUCGGGUCUGGUCGGCCAUGGCUGCCUUACCAGGCCAUGAUGCAGCUGUGAUGUCACCAAGCCCAUGGCAACCUAUGAGAAAGCUAGCAUGCCCAAAUUGUAGUAAGUGAUCUCUGAUUGGUAGAAUCAGGAGACAAAGUCCUGGAUAGCUGGAGAAGCAUUACCUUAUGUUAGAUCCUCAUUCCCACCAGUACUACUGUUACAUUAGGAUGCAUUGGGAAUAGCUACCAACCAAAUAGCUAGACCACCACAAGUCGUAGGGUAACAUCAAGUUAUCUCAACUGUUUGUAAAAUUGUCUGCAAGUGGCAAGCAAUCCUGUGAUUCAAUAAUUGUAAACUAUUCAAGAGUAACCGACAAGAAACGAAAAUCACAAUAGGUAAAGCCAGAUGCAACAGACUAUAUAGAGUACCUAUCACCGUGAUUUAUCCAAGUGAUCGUUAAAGAAACUGACCAGUAAAGUAACAAGAUUACAGUAUAGUACUGUAUAUGAACCGUACAAUGGUAGAAGAUUGAAGCGUGGAAAGCUUAAAUCUGUCUGAGGAAAGAUAUAUAAAUUCUAGCCAUUUACUGUUUGCCACUUAUCCUGUUGUUUGAACCUGUUUGAUCAACUGCGUGUAUGAAUAGUAAAGCUCACACCUUUCACAAGCACAAGUUGUGAUCCACUGUGCUGUGAACACACGUCACCGCUUUCAAGUUCUUCUCUCAUGCCACACCUGCACCGACCAGCUAUAGUUGUCCAUUGCCAGUGUGUGAGUGAUCUUGCUUAAAUACCACAUGCGGUCAAUGCAAGUCAACAAGACCAGCACACUAGCCCACUUGUGAGCUGCCUCAAGGAGCCAACCAUUUAGAUCUAUGUUGGCUGAGUGAAUGUGUGUGUGUGUAGGCCAACAAGUAUAGUCAAAGUACUGAUAGUACUGAUCUUGUUUUUUUUUCUCACCUGCAAUGGGUGGACCCUAGAAACACAAACCGAAACUGUCUCUAUUUUUCUGCUUAUUACAACGUGUAAUAAAGUUGUUACAUCUUGGCUUAACGUGUUUAUGACAUAUUAGAACGUUGUUACAACUUGCUAUAUUGGUUGUUAUAACUGGUUAGGAAGUGUUAAAACUUGUUCGAACGUUGUACCAAUGUCGUAGUUUCGGUGUGUGUUUGGCGGGGAGAUAGUGUCAAGUUUUAAUGGUGAUAGUUAUACUUCUAAGUAAUAAGUCAUUUAGCUAAGAAGGUAAAUAUGUAACACACACACUACACAUGUUGGCUUAUGUGCAUGUCAUUAAUUGUGAUUAAUUUUGCAUGUCAUAAAGUGUUCCCGAGUAUCUGGAAGGAACUCCCCUAAGUCCCUAGUGACCACCAGCGAUUGGUUGUCCACGAGUGUCACGACAAGACUGUAGACGUGUGUUGCCACAUAAUCUGUUGGCGAGACAUUUAAGGGGGGGUCUCUGAUGCAUUAUUAGCUUUUAAGAGCACCAAUUAGUAAAGUUGCUCUGUGUAUUAGUACAUAAGUUCUUUAAUUAAAAUUAUAUUUUCAUA
rnacentral:misc_RNA from 1 species